rnacentral:rRNA from 1 species
GACAGAGGGUGCAAACGUUGUUCGGAAUUACUGGGCGUAAAGCGUGUGUAGGCGGUCCACUAAGUCGGGUGUGAAAGCCCUGGGCUCAACCCAGGAAGUGCACUCGAAACUGGCGGGCUAGAGUAUCGGAGAGGUUGGUGGAAUUCUCGGUGUAGAGGUGAAAUUCGUAGAUAUCGGGAGGAACACCAGAGGCGAAGGCGACGACCUGGAAGGUAACUGACACUGAGCAGCGAAAGCGUGGGUAGCAAACAGG